CAAACUGCCGUGUCGGGGCGCUGCCGGCCGCCGCCAUCUUGGAUCGAUCAGUCGGCACUCGAAAAGCGCGCUGGUUUUGAUUCUCGAAUCGCGUGCGCCGCCAUUGUGGGACGAGACGGUGAUCGAGUUUCUUUCAGAUAUCCGUUAUAGCAUUCAAGCGAAGCUAUUUGUUUUCAAGAUCGGUUCGAAUAUUCGGUGCUUUUAAUACUUAGGCAACCGACUAGAAAGAACUGCGGACUAGCUAUACUAUCCUCGGAUCUUAUUUGUAAAGAACUACAACUCGGGCUCGGAGACAGGUCACGGGUGUUGGCAGUUGUGCUGAUAGCACUGGGCGAUUGCGAUGGAUCCCUCGUUAGACUACUGACCAAGGCACUUGUGUCGCUUUGCGUUGAUCCCCGUCGCUGGGAUGUGGCGCUGUCCAUCAUGCCACCAGAAACUUUAAAGAGACAGUGGUAAGAAAUUAAUCUUCAUACUAAUACCUUUAAAUUGGGCACAUGAACGACGUCUCCAUACUGGUCCUUGGUGAAAAUGGUAACAAUAGCCGGCCACCCGCAUUUCAUCUCAUCUUUCGAGUAAAGCACCUCGCACUUCGAGGGAUCCACGAAACUGUCCGGUUGCAGCCAUCUUGCGAGUCGUCCUCCGCUGGUGCCAGCCGUGCACGAGACGAAGUCCCGUAGAAACAAUCGUUCGUUCGAGUGGCAACUGAGAAACAGCAAAAGAAAUCCUACCAUUACACUGUGAAUACCGCUAUCAACGUAGCUAGUUUCCAACAUACGCUUAGCAUUAACUAAUCAACAAGUUCAUCGACGCCGAAGAAAACUGAAUGGAUCGUGAAUGUCAACGAAGGUAAAAAAACGGCACGGAACGGGGCUCGCCGCGGGUUGUCGGACUCGUUAGAACGAGUUUCCGAGUUACAAUGCCCUUAAUUGGCGAUCCGUUCCACGGAUCCCGUCUGGGGAUAGAUCACGAGCAGAGGACGAUGCUCCUCUGCCAGCCAGACAAUCGUUGCUUCCCCUAGCGAGUCAUCGCCGGAGUCAUCCCUAAUAAGGCGCAAUCACAUCGCAAUUCCGUUCGCCGCGGCUCGCCGGAGCGACGGGUUCGCUACCUAUACCACGCCGUCACGCCUCGAACGAUUUCGCCGGUGACGAGCCGCUCGAACGACUUCUUCGAACCCUUUAAACGCGGCCGCCGCCAAACCGGUAUCGAACGAAAGUCGCUGCCACAUUCGAUCCGCACGUCACGCGGAAGAAAUUCAAUCCACUAGAACCGAUAACUGUCAAUUAUCUGCAAAGUUUGAAAGGUCGUCAAACCUGCUGCGGACGGACACCUUAUAGAAUUGUUAUUUUAAAACCCCCAACUGCUGACUUGCGAGAAGGCGGUCUUAAAGCGUCGGGUCAAUCGAAGUAUGUCGGUGUCGUUCGUCAAUAA